UGCGGAGGCGGGCCCGCGGGCUUGGGGGGAACCCCUCAGAGGGAGGGCGCAGAGAUCUGGCCGACCCAGAGGGGGCACCCCCGCGGACGGAGGGGCGUGACCCUGCGGACCAAGAGAGAGGACCGAGGGGAGACCUAUCAGACUGAAGGCUGGGACUGAGGGAAAAGAUGCGAAGGCAAAGGGAGACGUCCAAAAUUUAAGAAGGGUCGACUGAUGAGACCCUCAGCGAGAAGGAGGAAGUGUAGAGACUUCACAGCCACUUGGGGCAAUGUACAACUUCUGCAGCCUGCGAACCAAGGCAGAAAAAGCCAUACAACUCUAGAAGACAAGCCCACGAGGUACACUUUGUUGAAGCAAAUGGCUGGGUCUCUUCACUGAAGUUUCCAGCAUGUUCCAGUAACACACACCCUAGUUCUGCUUACAAACAAAAGGAGAAAAAGAGCAAUGCGUUAUGAAACCCAUCCCUUGCAACAGGGAGGAGGGUCAUUCUGUGGGAAGGACAUCUUUGGGUUCUGCAUCAGUCUGUUCUGCUUUGGCUUCGGUGACGGCCGGAGCCGGGGCCGCGACCCUCACAGUGCCUUCUGCCUCUGCUGCGGCCGCUUGCACUUCCCGUCCGGCCUCCGCGGCUUCCCCUCCGGCCUCCGCUUCAGUGCUGCCCUUCUCAGAGGCCCUGCCACCCGGUGUCUCCACUUCCAGCGGCUGUUCAGAGUGGGGACCGCGAGGGGCCUGGGCCGCGUCCACAGGGCCUUCCCCUUCGGCCAGCGUGUCACUGCCUUCUGGAGCCGGCGCUCCUUCCCCAUCUACCGCUCUCACUGCUGCCGUAAUGACCUCAGCCAACACCUCCGCGGCCACCUCCUCGGGUGUCUCCUCCUUCUCCUCGCCUCCUAAAUUGUCAUCCCCUUCGAUUUCUGGAUCGACAGCCUCACUGGUGAAAGGGUCUUCACCCUGGCCAAGAAGAGCAACAUGUCAGUGCAAAGGGGAGACUGAAGGGGGCCCAGGUUGCCGGGAAUCCGUGUUUUUAGGCUGAAGAGCCAACGAGAGAAACACGUCCCACUACAGAUGCUUCUGGAUUUCUUCAUCUUCAAAGCUACGAAACUUGCACACAGAACAGGCGAACUGAAUCCUGGAAAAGGAAGACGGAAAGAAUGACGACAUAGGAAUAACCAGCUCAUCUCUGGUUGGAACAGAAAUGGAAACAGGAAGCAAUUUCUGUACCAAGACUUCUGACUUUGAGUGGGGCAUCAGAGUAGCAGAUGCCCCAGGUCCCCCCAUCCUGAGAAUGGGGAUGCAAUCUUGAAAGUGUUUUAGGAAAACGAUUCAUGCACCACACCAGUCUUUUUGGCCCAAAGGCCCACAAGAGAACACCCUAAGGUGGAGACUUUCCAAACUGUGGACUCCCUAAAGGCCCCCAGACCACUGCUCUGGGGGGCGUAGUACCUAACUCUGUAACUUCUUUCUGUAGCCACCAAGAUAACACACGGGAGCCUCAUUUUAAUGUGAGGGAGAAUUUCCUGAAGACCUUCCACCAUCUAAAACUCACAAAACCCAAGAUCAAUUUUCACACGGGACUCAACAUUAAGACCCGUCAUAUCAAAUUCUAUGGCUAAAAACUGACGUCUUUGUUGCGUACUUUCAAAACCUCAUAAAUGCAAUCAUGCUGUAAGGCAAGGGGAGAGCAGCCCGCAGAGCCUUAUGCCUCCAGAGUGGGGCGCUGCUUCCCUCGGCUCUGCCCAGGAGGCUUUGGUGUAUCUGGGCUAACGACAUGGGUCCCGUGACACUCAGGAUUCCUCAUCUACCAACUCAGACUUCUGCCGGCUCUCAAUGCCUGGCUUCUGACCUCUGGACAAGGCACCACAAAACACCUGCUUUUGCAUAUACCCUCGACAAAGGAGUGAAAAGAAAAGCUCUGGGGCCCUAUAUGUAUGAAUGGGUAUCAGGAAGCUACCAAAGAAAUGCGGGGUUCGUGCUUCCUGCUGCAUCUUUACCUCCCCUGUGACAGUCUCUCCAAGUCUCUCUGAGGGCCCUCUGUCCCUAGGGUGGAGUCUAAAGACUCCUUCCGGAAAAAAGUCAUCUCAGUUCUCCUGGGGCAUGAAAAUAAUCUGAUCUAGCCAUCAUGUAUUCAUCUGUUUGAAAACAAGCGUUUUGAUGAAUUUCUGUUUAGCACUUGGAA